rnacentral:rRNA from 1 species
UACAGAGGGGGCAAGCGUUGUUCGGAAUUACUGGGCGUAAAGGGCGCGUAGGCGGCCUUCUAAGUCGAACGUGAAAUCCCUGGGCUCAACCCGGGAACUGCGUCCGAUACUGGAAGGCUUGAAUCCGGGAGAGGGAUGCGGAAUUCCAGGUGUAGCGGUGAAAUGCGUAGAUAUCUGGAGGAACACCGGUGGCGAAGGCGGCAUCCUGGACCGGCAUUGACGCUGAGGCGCGAAAGCCAGGGGAGCAAACGGG